rnacentral:rRNA from 1 species
AUACGUAGGUGGCAAGCGUUGUCCGGAUUUACUGGGCGUAAAGGAUGCGUAGGCGGAUAUUUAAGUGAGAUGUGAAAUUCCCGAGCUUAACUUGGGAGCUGCAUUUCAAACUGGAUAUCUAGAGUGUGGGAGAGGAGAAUGGAAUUCCUAGUGUAGCGGUGAAAUGCGUAGAGAUUAGGAAGAACACCAGUGGCGAAGGCGAUUCUCUGGACCAUAACUGACGCUGAGGCAUGAAAGCGUGGGUAGC